CCUACGGGGGGCUGCAGUGGGGAAUAUUGCACAAUGGGGGAAACCCUGAUGCAGCGACGCCGCGUGAGUGAAGAAGUAAUUCGUUACGUAAAGCUCUAUCAGCAGGGAAGACACACUGACCUUACGGUCAGCAGACGGUACCUGAGUAAGAAGCCCCGGCUAACUACGUGCCAGCAGCCGCGGUAAGACGUAGGGGGCAAGCGUGAUCCGGAUUUACUGGGUGUAAAGGGAGCGUAGACGGUGCGCCAAGUCUGGAGUGAAAUGCCGCGGCUUAACUGCGGAACUGCUUUGGAAACUGGCGAACUAGAGUGCGGGAGGGGUAAGCGGAAGUCCUAGUGUAGCGGUGAAAUGCGUAGAUAUUAGGAGGAACUCCGAUUGCGAAGGCAGCAUACCGGCGCCCAACUGACGCUGAAGCACGAAAGCGUGGGUAUCGAACAGGAUUAGAUACCCUAGUAGUC
rnacentral:rRNA from 1 species